UACGGCUAUAUUACGUUAAAACAGUCGUUCCCCUAUGAUCACCGAAGUUAAACCACGUCAAGUCUGGCCAGUACCUAGAUGGGUGACUACUUGGGAAUACCAGGU